AGGCGGUGGGUGUGACUGCUCACAUCUCUGCUCACGGCACAAUGGGUCAAAUGUCUCUACGACUCCUCUUUCUGACCUCACUGAUCUGCUGCACAACAAACCAAGCUCGUCUGACUGUGAG